GACGAACGCUGGCGGCGUGCUUAACACAUGCAAGUCGAACGGAAAGGCCCUGCUUUUGUGGGGUGCUCGAGUGGCGAACGGGUGAGUAACACGUGAGUAACCUGCCCUUGACUUUGGGAUAACUUCAGGAAACUGGGGCUAAUACCGGAUAGGAGCUCCUGCUGCAUGGUGGGGGUUGGAAAGUUUCGGCGGUUUGGGAUGGACUCGCGGCUUAUCAGCUUGUUGGUGGGGUAGUGGCUUACCAAGGCUUUGACGGGUAGCCGGCCUGAGAGGGUGACCGGCCACAUUGGGACUGAGAUACGGCCCAGACUCCUACGGGAGGCAGCAGUGGGGAAUAUUGCACAAUGGGCGGAAGCCUGAUGCAGCAACGCCGCGUGCGGGAUGACGGCCUUCGGGUUGUAAACCGCUUUCGCCUGUGACGAAGCGUGAGUGACGGUAAUGGGUAAAGAAGCACCGGCUAACUACGUG
rnacentral:rRNA from 1 species